UACGAAGGGGGCUAGCGUUGCUCGGAAUUACUGGGCGUAAAGCGCACGUAGGCGGAUUGUUAAGUCGGGGGUGAAAGCCUGUGGCUCAACCACAGAAUGGCCUUCGAUACUGGGACGCUUGAGUAUGGUAGAGGUUGGUGGAACUGCGAGUGUAGAGGUGAAAUUCGUAGAUAUUCGCAAGAACACCGGUGGCGAAGGCGGCCAACUGGACCAUUACUGACGCUGAGGCGCGAAAGCGUGGGGAGCAAACAGG
rnacentral:rRNA from 1 species